AUGGAAAGUAUUCAAGAACUGAUAAGUAAUAUUUCCCAUCGAUUAGAUGAUUUAGCUCGGCAGCGAGAAGUAGUUUUUGAGGAUAGGCCUAGCUCUUAUGAUCCUUAUUCUAGAGGUCAUCCUUAUGUUGCUCCUACAUGCCAUAUUUGUAGAUUUCAGGGCCAUUCACCCGCCGAAUGUCAGCGUGGUUACUCUCACGCUCCCGAUUGUUAUGGCAUGAGCUUCGCCCCACAGCCAAGCUCAUACCAAAACAAUUACUCACAUGGGUGGCCUGAAAACCAGAAUAUGUCAUAUAGGAGCAACAACCCUGAGAUCUCAUCGUUUGCCUCUAGUUAUCCAAUGCAGGGAUUUAGGUACAAUGAGGAGAGCCACAACUAUGCACCACAACAAUUUUAUUCACCUCCUACUCAUAUGCCUCAGCACCAGGAGAUGUUGCCAAUGGAGUUAAAUGGUCCUCCAUUUGGUCAACCAACAAUUCCAGCACCUAUCGUGCAAUCUCAUGUGCAAGUGCCCACACAAGAUGAGUUCGAUGACAUAGACAAGCUCACACUUUUGAGUCUCGAGUUCACUUGGAGUGCCGAGGAUGAUCCAAUUAGGCCGGUGAUACUAGAGGAAAUGAAGAAGAUCAAGAGUGGAAAAGAGCUAGUGGAAGAAGUUCCAACACCGUCACACCCAGCUGAGCAAGAUAGCGAGAGUCCAGAGAAAGAGAGACCUCAGAUUGAAGAUGAAUUAGAAGACAAGGAACAAGAUGAUCAAGAGCUGCAAUUCCCAAGUGAUCAAGAUGAAGAUCUGCUACCUAUCACUCAUGAAGAAGUAAAAGAAGCUGAUGUAGUUGAAGAUGAAGAACCUGAGAUUCAUUUUCCUAUUGUCAUACAAGAGCAUGAUAUAAGGGCAUUACCCCUUUCACUUGUAUGGUCUCUUUUGUCGAGUGCUCUUUCAGGUUUUUGCUACUGCACCGUUCACUACAUGCUGACCAGGUUCGAGGUGACAUUCCUUGGGACCCUGAUGGAUUUAGAGCAUGGUGAAGAGGAGAAGCAAUGGGCACAUACAAGGAAGAGAAAAGCUGGAGCAUGCACGAGGAUAGAGAAGCAAAAGGAGAGGAGUCACGAUGCAAGAGGAUGUGAGAUGAUCGAGCGAGUUCUACUUCAUAAAGCCCGGUGUAUACCAUGUUCUCGGGAUCGGUGGUAUAUUCCUUUGGGGAGAAAAACAAAAAAAACUAAUGAUUGGUCGAGCCAGGUGUAUACCAUGUUCUCGGGAUCGGUGGUAUGUUCCUUUGAAAGAAGAAAAGGAGAAGGGCCAAAAUUGCAAAGUGGCAGAUCAGAGGAGGGGUCAAAAUCCCUAGAGGCUGCCGAUCCCCAUCGGGUCUGGCAUCUCCAUCUCUCUCCCUCACCACUUCUUCUUCCAUCUCCGGCCGCCGCCGCGGCCAGGCUGGCGUGGCGGCGCGCCACCCAGCACCUCCACACGCUCCACACCGCCGCCAUCCAUCACCACCACUCCCCGCUUCACCGUGCCACCAUCACCACCGCACCACUGAGCACCUCCGCGCGAGAGUUUCCUUGCUGCUGCUCCUUCUUCCCUCGCCUUGCUGUUGCUUCUACUGCUUCUUCUCCAAGCCCCGCUGCUGCUCCCUUCUUGUUGCGCCCCUGCUCCUCCUUCUCCUCUCUACAUCCCCGCGUUGCUGCUGCUUCUUCUUGCGACUUCCUGCUCCCUUCACCUACCUUACUGCUUCCUGUAUCUUCUCAGAACCUUUUGCUGCUCCUCCUUCCCCCACGAACUUGCUGCUGCUCCUUCCUCAAUCUCCUACUGCUUCUCUUCUUCUUCUAUCUUGUCGCUGCUUAUCUCUCUUUCUGA
rnacentral:rRNA from 1 species